rnacentral:rRNA from 1 species
GACGAACGCUGGCGGCGUGCUUAACACAUGCAAGUCGAACGGAAAGGCCCUGCUUUUGUGGAGUGCUCGAGUGGCGAACGGGUGAGUAACACGUGAGUAACCUGCUCUUGACUUUGGGAUAACUUCAGGAAACUGGGGCUAAUACCGGAUAGGAGCUCCUGCUGCAUGGUGGGGGUUGGAAAGUUUCGGCGGUUGGGGAUGGACUCGCGGCUUAUCAGCUUGUUGGCGGGGUAGUGGCUUACCAAGGCUUUGACGGGUAGCCGGCCUGAGAGGGUGACCGACCACAUUGGGACUGAGAUACGGCCCAGACUCCUACGGGAGGCAGCAGUGGGGAAUAUUGCACAAUGGGCGGAAGCCUGAUGCAGCAACGCCGCGUGCGGGAUGACGGCCUUCGGGUUGUAAACCGCUUUCGCCUGUGACGAAGCGUGAGUGACGGUAAUGGGUAAAGAAGCACCGGCUAACUACGUG